rnacentral:rRNA from 1 species
GAUCCUGGCUCAGAUUGAACGCUGGCGGCAUGCCUUACACAUGCAAGUCGAACGGCAGCAUGGAGAGCUUGCUCUCUGAUGGCGAGUGGCGAACGGGUGAGUAAUGCAUCGGAACGUACCGUGUAAUGGGGGAUAACGUAGCGAAAGUUACGCUAAUACCGCAUACGACCUGAGGGUGAAAGCAGGGGAUCGCAAGACCUUGCGUUAUACGAGCGGCCGAUGUCAGAUUAGCUUGUUGGUAAGGUAAGAGCUUACCAAGGCGACGAUCAGUAUCUGGUUUGAGAGGACGAUCAGACACACUGGAACUGAGACACGGUCCAGACUCCUACGGGAGGCAGCAGUGGGGAAUUUUCCGCAAUGGGCGAAAGCCUGACGGAGCAAUACCGCGUGAGGGAAGAAUGCCUAUGGGUUGUAAACCUCUUUUUUCAGGGAGGAAUCAAAUGACGUGUACCUGAAGAAUAAGCAUCGGCUAACUCCGUG